rnacentral:rRNA from 1 species
UACGAAGGGGGCUAGCGUUGCUCGGAAUUACUGGGCGGAAAGCGCACGUAGGCGGCUUUCUAAGUCGGGGGUGAAAUCCUGGAGCUCAACUCCAGAACUGCCUUCGAUACUGGAGAGCUCGAGUCCGGGAGAGGUGAGUGGAACUGCGAGUGUAGAGGUGAAAUUCGUAGAUAUUCGCAAGAACACCAGUGGCGAAGGCGGCUCACUGGCCCGGUACUGACGCUGAGGCGCGAAAGCGUGGGGAGCAAACAGG